rnacentral:lncRNA from 1 species
GACUUUUCAGUAUUUUCAUUUAAAACUUCUUUCCCAUUUUUCGUCAAAAUCUAAUACCUCUCCCCUUUCCCCAAAUCACUCCCCAAAUCAUCUGAAUUGAGAGAUAAUGCAUGAAAUCUCGAUCCCAAAAAAUCCUCCCUGUUUCCAGUCUUUUCCAUGAAUGUUUUGCUCACAUGAGUUACGCUUGGACCUCCUCUCCACCAGCAUCCAAGGACCAUAUUCAUCGCUUCCGACCACCGAAUCAACAACUAUUCGUGAGGUUCCAAUCGCCGGAGCAUUUCCUCCCAAAUUAUUCCCUGUUGCUUGUAUAUGCGGACAGCCAUCCUUGGAGUGACCAUACCGUCAACACGAGAAGCAGAAAACCGGUAAGCUUUCGUACUCGAUUCCUUGAAGGUUUCCAUUGAUGAGAAGGAAUCAGUGGUUUCUCCAAAUUGAUAUAUACUGUCAUACGUGCAUAUUGUCCUCUUGUUUGACUGUCUAUACUAAAAUCAAAUUUGGUUACCAUCCCCACCAUUCCCUCAAUUUCCCAUAAGACCUCUUUUUUGUAGAGGUAGCUAGGCAGUCCUGGGAGUCUAAUCCAAGCCAGAACAUUACUGGGAUAGAGAUUCAUUGAAUUGAAAUCAAUAGUCCAUGGUUGCACCAUCAAAUACUGUCCGAAGAUAAUCCACGGUCCCUGUGAUAAAACCUUCUCAUAAUCCUCAGAAAUUUGAAAUUUUGCUAAGAAAUAGCCAUUUUCGAUAUCCAUCAUUUGAAAGGGUUAAGAUGGUCUCCAAAGUCCAUAAGUCUUAUUUUGUCGAGUUGUAAAACCAAUAUUCCUUUCCAACAACAUGAGAAUCACGGAGGUGGACAUGUUUUAACUAAUAAUUUUUGAAUUCUAUCCGAGAAAUCAAUAGCAGGAAUGCCAUUGACUAUCGACUUCUUAACAUCACCUUCUAGAAAGGAGAAAACCUCAUUGGCUGCGUUCGAAUCACUCUCCCCAUUAGAAACAGUGGAGCCUUUGCCCAGAACCAUAUCUUUCCAGGACAGGGGUGGUACUGGUGUUGAGCCGACAGCAAUCACAUCCUUGAAACGAACCUUCUUGGUGUUUGGAUCACCAGAUCAUCCCUUUUUCCAUUGUUUUCACAGUUCAGCCUGUUGUAUUUCAUUUGUGUUAUUGUAAUAACUCUAUUUUACAUCUAUAAAAUUAACACAAUUAAAAAAAAAUUAACACAAUUUUUUUUACUUCAAUUUUUUAACAAAUUGUAAUUAUCAAAAUUUUUUCUUAUAUAUUAUGCUUAGAUAACUUUAUCUUUAAAAUUAACAUAAUUUUUUUAACUAACA